UACGUAGGGUGCGAGCGUUGUCCGGAAUUACUGGGCGUAAAGAGCUCGUAGGUGGUUUGUCGCGUUGUUCGUGAAAACUCACAGCUUAACUGUGGGCGUGCGGGCGAUACGGGCAGACUAGAGUACUGCAGGGGGAGACUGGAAUUCCCUGGUGUAGCGGUGGAAUGCGCAGAUAUCAGGAGGAACACCGAUGGCGAAGGCAGGUC
rnacentral:rRNA from 1 species